rnacentral:rRNA from 1 species
AGUGGAUGGGGAGCAACCUAGUUGUGCGUGUGUAAAGGUAGUGCCAAGAAAAGCGGUGAUCAUGAUGAAAAUCAAUUCCCGGUACCCGAAACCGACACAGGUGGGCAAGUAGAGAAUACUAAGGGGCGCGAGGUAACUCUCUCCAAGGAACUCGGCAAAAUGACCCCGUAACUUAGGGAGAAGGGGUGCCACCGAGAGGUGGUCGCAGUGAAGAGGCCCAGGCGACUGUUUAGCAAAAACAUAGGUCUCUGCAAAACUCGAAAGAGGAGGUAUAGGGGCUGACGCCUGCCCAGUGCCGGAAGGUUAAAGAAGUUGGUCAGUCUUAGGAUAAAGCUAGCGACUGAAGCCCCGGUGAACGGCGGCCGUAACUAUAACGGUCCUAAGGUAGCGAAAUUCCUUGUCGGGUAAGUUCCGACCCGCACGAAAGGCGUAACGAUCUGGGCGCUGUCUCGGAGAGAGGCUCGGCGAAAUAGGAUUGUCUGUGAAGAUACGGACUACCUGCAUUUGGACAGAAAGACCCUAUGAAGCUUUACUAUAGCUUGGAAUUGUGUUCGGGCUUCCUGUGCGCAGGAUAGGUGGGAGGCGUAGAAGGUAUUCUUGUGGGGAUACUGGAGCCAACGGUGAGAUACCACUCUCAGGAGGCUAGAAUUCUAACUUAAUUAAGGACAGUUUCAGGUGGGUAGUUUGACUGGGGCGGUCGCCUCCAAAAAGGUAACGGAGGCGUACAAAGGUUCCCUCAGACUGGUUGGAAAUCAGUCGCAGAGUGCAAAGGCAGAAGGGAGCUUGACUGCGAGAAGUACAGUUCGAGCAGGGUGGAAACACGGUCUUAGUGAUCCGACGGUGCUGUGUGGAAGGGCCGUCGCUCAACGGAUAAAAGUUACUCUAGGAUAACAGGCUGAUCUCCCCCAAGAGUUCACAUCGACGGGGAGGUUUGGCACCUCGAUGUCGGCUCAUCGCAACCUGGGGCGGAAGUACGUCCCAAGGGUUGGGCUGUUCGCCCAUUAAAGCGGUACGUGAGCUGGGUUCAGAACGUCGUGAGACAGUUCGGUCCAUAUCCGAUGUAGGCGUGAGAAUAUUGAGAGGAGCCUUCCUUAGUACGAGAGGACCGGGAAGGACGCACCGCUGGUGUACCUGUUAUGAUGCCAAUUGUAAACGCAGGGUAGCCAAGUGCGGAGAGGAUAACCGCUGAAAGCAUCUAAGUGGGAAGCCCACCUCAAGAUGAGUAUUCUGGUGUAAGGUCACGGGAAGACGACCCGUAAAUAGGCACGAGGUGGAAGUGCAGAGAUGUAUGAAGCCGAAGUGUACUAAUAGACCGUCGGCUUGACC